UGACUAUUUUUCUCGAGGUUCCAGGGUAUUCAAUCUUUCACCGACUCUUCUUGGUCUUAUAAUUUUGGUCUCAAAAUUCAUCUCCUCAUAUGAUUAUCAUCAGCUUCCGCUACGCCAUCAGAGUUACCGAUUAUCAGCUUCAGCUAAGCCAUCAGAUUCACCAGCUUCAAACGAUUAUCCAGAAGCUAAUCCUAAUUGUUAUCAUCAACUCAGAUUUCUUAUAUUUUUGGUUUCUCUUCAUCUGCUCAGUUUUCUCUACAUUUGAGAAGCUAAAGACCCAGUGUAGUUCCACAAAGUGGGAUUCUGGGGGUUGGGGUUGGGGUUGGGGUGGUGUAUGCAUACCAUACCCCUGCCUCAGAGGUAGAAGGCUGUUUCACAUACACCCUUGGCUCAAGAUGAAUGGUGCUUUCAUGGAAUUCUCUGUACAGUAGAAGUAAUAACUCUCGACUAUAUCAUCCUAUAUUGCGCCUAAAAAAAGUGGCAAUGACAAUUCUGGAAGUUGCUCUCCUUUAUGCGACAUUGAGCAAAUAUUCUGUAACAGAACAUUUUCUCAGCCAAUCUGGAGGCACCUUCUUUUGCUCUCACUGUAGAGAAUCUGCUUUUCUUGGAGGCAUGGAGAACAAUUGACUGUGCAUAUAUUGACAAAACUUUCAAUGGUGAAAGUUGGUUUAGGUACAAAGAAGAUGCACUACGAAAUGAACCAAUGAACACAAGACAGGAAACAUAUGCAGCAAUAAAGAAGAUGAUUGCUACUCUGGAUGACUCUUUCACCGUUUUCUGGAGCCCGAAAAGUUUAAAAGUUUGCGGGCAGUCAGGAACUCAUAAUGUGCUUACGGGCGUAGGUUUGUCAAUUGGCUAUCCGACAGGGAAGAAUGAAUCAGUCCCUGGACUGGUCGUUAUCGCAACUGUUCGUAGUCUUGAUCACUUUGUUUUUUAUAUUGUAAGAUUUUAUUUUACCCUCUAUAGAUUAGAAAAAAUUCUCCGAAUAUGACUUGAAACAUUUUUUCCUGUCCUAUACUUAUAAAGGUGGAGUUAAAAAGUCACUCAUAGACACAUUAUACCGUGUCAUUCUGAAUAAAGCUUGCAUCCUUUGCAUUGGCACAUUAAGCUUUUCAAAUAUCUUUUCUCGUGGUUGUGGGGUUCUCACUUGAACCUUUGUAUUACAUAGUGGUAUCUCUUCUUCCAGGCAUUAGUGAGGUAUGCAUAGAAGUUUUUGAUGUGUUUCUCACAUGUUACUUCUUGGACUGCUAAAUGAGUACUUGAUUUUCAAAAUUUCAGAACUGAUUCAAGCUUGUAUGGUAUCUCAAUGACACAAGAGCUUCUUUUCCAUGGUGCACUGCUACCACUUUUUGGCAUCAAUUGGCAGUGUUGUGGCAGUUGCUUCCAUAUUUGGGAUAUUACAAUUAAAAAGUGGUUGGAAAUACUCCUUUACUGCCUGGUAUUUGUUCAAACUUAUGCUCGAACUGUGGUGUUUUCCGUAUUUAAUCAUGUCUGAGUAAAUUUCUAGAUACAAGUCAAUUAUUUCCUUUUUCCUUUUCUAUCAUGAGAUGCCAUUGUGCUUUGUGACGUGAUAUUUCACAAUAUAACUUGGUAUCUUUUUCUUGUCCAUUGACUAGAAUCAUAUAAGAAAUAUGUAAGUCCCAAGAACAAGUUUAUAUCCAUAGCUUGAAUUAUGAUGCUCAAGAAGAGGGAGACUGAAAUUUACGACUAUUCUAAUUUUAGGGCCGCGUUUGUUGGAAUUGUGUAUGGUUAUGCGAUCCUAGACUGUUGUUGUUUCCAAUGGCUGCCAAUGCUCUAAAUAUCCUAUUAGGAGGCAUCAUAUGGUGCUUACCCAUCAAAUUCGUCAAAAUAGAUUGGUAAAUCCUAUUUCACUACAGUACCACGGAUUGCAAGACAAUAUACAUUUAAGGGUCAUGAGGCACCUGUAUACUCUGUAUGCCCUCACCAUAAAGAAAGCAUUCAGGUAAGGAUACUGUUAUAUAUCUCUUGUACAAUACUAAAGGUUUAGCUUUUUUCUCUGUUGCACGUGUGUUGAUAACUUUCUUCAAUCGUAAGAUCCACACAUCAAACAUGUUUCUUGAUCAAGCUUCUUUACUGUUUUUAUUUUGUCAGCGCGAUAAGUGAUAAUUCUAAGGAAUAAUGGUACCUUGAGUUGACAUGGAAAUUUCGAUAACCUUCUGCACAUUUUGUUAAAGAGUUGGUUCAAGCACGUAUCCUUUUGGAUAACUUCAAUUUAGGUUUUGUUCAGGUAAAUAAGCAUACUUGUGAAGUUUUUACUGAUUAGAUGGUGGAAAAGUCCCUAGAGUUAAUUUUUGAAGCCAAGUCAUGAAAGAUUUUGCUUUGUGAAUAUUUGAAAUGAUUCUACUGCCUUUUUUUCAAAAUCCGCAACUUCUAAUGUCUUUCACACAUUGUUGUCAUUGUUGGUUGUUAGAAUAUGAGUAGGAAUAGGAAUAACAUAUAAAAUCCAACUUGGAAAAGGAUUGUAAUGUAGUGUCCUAUUAGGAAAAGGAUUGGAAUGUAUUGUUUAUAAAUAGGGCCUCAAUGCAAUAAUGUAGUUACAACAAUUCAAUAAUAUUUCUCUCUUAUAUUUCUCACAUGGUAUCAAAGCUUCCACGAUCUUGGUAAAGAAUCAAAGAGUUUUCACUGCCGGCGGGCGGCUAUAAUUUAUAUGUCGCUCGUCUGGUCAAUGAUUAUGUUAGCAAAAGUUAGGUCACUUGCUCACUGUGCAUCUUUCUAGUGACUAUUUUCUCAUAUCUUUGCGUAGCAUCAUGCAUCUGUUCGGUGACUACUUUUUCAUAUCUAUUUUUCUUAGCAUCGUACUUCUUUUCGGUGACUAUUUUCUCAUAUCUGAUUUGCGUAGCACCGUGCAUAUUUCCGGACUACUGUCUCAUAUCUGAGUUGCAUAGCACCAUGCAUCUUUCUGGUGACUCCUCAGAUCUUUUUCAAAAGAAUCGUGCCAUCAUUCCGACCCUGCCCAUAUAAUUUCUCUUUUCCAGUAGGAUCGUGCCGUCAUUCCGACCCUACUCAUAUAAUUUCUAUUUCUCAAUAGGGUCGUGCCAUCAUUUCGACCCUACACAUAUUUCUCUUUUUCAGUAGGGUCGUGUCAUCAUUUCGACCCUACCCAUAUACUUUUUUUUUCCUCAGAUUGUAGUUACUUUUAGCCAUCAAAUCUAAUAAUCCGGUGUGUGAGCGUGUUUCGGCUAAGUUUCUGGUGACUUGAAUCAUCUUCAAGAUCUACUCGUUUCUGGAUUUCGAGAUGCCCCGUAUAUUUUAUACCAGUUUUCGGCAAUUUUCCAGCGACACAUCGACUUUACGACAAUAUUCACUACUUUUCGGAUCAUUUUUUCAGUUUGUUCCAGUUUCAAUUGAGGUCUCCCAGAUGUCCAAAACAGUCUUGUAGAUAUCUUCACCAAGUCCCUCACCGAUUCUCAUAUUAGUUACAUCCAUAACAAGCUUGGUACAUAUGUCUUCUAUGCACCAACUUGAGGGGGAGUGUUAGAAUAUGAGUAGGAAUAGGAAUAACAUAUAAAAUCCUACUUGGAAAAGGAUUGUAAUGUAGUGUCCUAUUACGACAAGGAUUGGAAUGUAUUGUCUAUAAAUAAGGUCUCAAUGUAAUAAUGUAGUUACAACAAUUCAAUAAUAUUUUUCUCUUGUAUUUCUCACAUUGGUUGUGACUGGAUAUUGAAAAGACUCUGAUGUUAAAUUUUGACAGAUGUCAUGAAAUCUCUUUAAGUUGGGUAAAAUGAUAACUGGUGAUUAACUUAGUUCUCUUCAUAGAAUCUUACUUAGCCGAUCUACAUUUAAAUUGCUCAGAUAAAGAAAUUUCUUAUUGAUAUGGGUGAUGGUGCAACAUAGAUCAAGUCAGUAGCAGCUGGGAGUAGAUGCUACAAAUGUUGUAUUACUGUUAUAUUACUCAAUGAUUGAUAUAUCUUUUUCUCUAAAGCCACGUUUAACUUUUCAGUUGCAUAAACUAUACGUACAUGAAUAUGGUAUAUUGAAGAAUGGCUUGUAACUUCCAAUUGGAAGUCCAAUUUGUCGUAAGUGUUGUCUGCUAGACUCGUGUUGUUGUAGCUUGCACUUACCACAACUAUUCCUCAACCUUAAUUUCCUUAGACAAUUCGUUUUCAUUUUUUGUCAAUGGCAUCUCUCACCAACAAAACAAGUAGUUGCACGUGAUAUUUGAUGGACGUGGAGGUAGAGUUAAGGGUGUUCAUCUGUUUUUUCAUCAAUUUUGGGUCACCAAACCAGCAAACUGGCAUGGCCUAAAUUGAUCCUUGUUCUCUAUGGCAUUAGGAUUCAAUUUACACUGUCCAUCUGCAACACAAUAAGUAGCAUGGUGUGGAAAACCCCAAACCAAGGGACAUCAAGAAAAUGUGCAAUAGUAUUAUUUUAACAACAAAUCUCCAUUUUCAAUCUUUUCUUUAGGACAUAUGGUAACUAUAAUACAAUCUCAUUGUUGCGCUAUGUGGGUUCUUACCACCAUGAAAAGGUUCAGUCCAGCUUUAAGUAAUCCUUCUUCAGGCAUAACUCAGUACAGACAUAAUCUAUUAAUUGUCUUUAUAUUGCCCCAGUAGACAUCGGGUUUCUUCAAUAGGCAGAGCGACUUUGGCAAGUAACUUGUAUAUAGUUACAGACGUGUUUCUUUCCAUACGGUGAUAUGUGCCUAACUCGCAACUAGAUGAAUCUUGUUAAACAGUAAUCAACGGCAAGCGAAUUUGCUUCAAUCCUUAUUCACGAGUUAGGCUUAAACCACCAGUUUGCCCAUAUUUUGGCUUCUUAUAUGUUAAAAACAGACUUCUACAUCAGAAAUUGGGUCUUACAUCUAAAUUUUUUAUGCCUGAAACAAUUGCUAGAAAGUGAUUACACUUGCUUAUAACAUACAUAAUGUUCUUAGACAACUCUUAUGGUUCUGUGGUUAAGUGGUCAACAUGUCCACACAUUUUUUCUGCCUUUCUUUGAACUGGCCAUAUAAAAAAAUUAUAUGUAUUCUUAUGACAUGAUUUCAUGGACAAGUUGUUAUCCAUAUACCCUAACAGAUUAUUGGAUAAGAAGGAAAAUUUAUGUAGGUUCAAGGUUUACCCGGAGGUGGACACGAGGAAUUCAAUUCCAGAGCCAAUUUUUUGUCCCGCGCAGGUAUUACUAUGACCUUGUUAACCAUUCAUUAUAUCGAGCCGGGGGUCUAUCGGAAACAACCUUUUUACUUCUUCGAAAGUAGCGGUAUGGACUGCGUACAUUUUACCCUCCUCAGAUCCCACUUGGUGAGAUUACACUGGAUUUGUUGUUGUUGUUGUUGGAACUAUUGUGGUAUUGAAAGGCUUGACCUUAUUGUUUGAUGUUCAGUUUCAGUUUCUCUUAAUACUUACAGUAAAUGGUUUGCAACCUUGAUUGUGUAGAUGAAAAUUUGCUCAUAUUUCCACAAUUUUUUGGUUAGUGAUGAUGGUUUCCUUCAAAUUUGAUGUUUGCGCUUUUUGAGCUUAUGUUUACUGCUGAUAUUGGUUGUUGCUUGCUUAAUAAGGAAACAAGGGGAAGAGCUCUCAUGGUGGUCCUAUCUAAAGAAAUUUUUCCUGCAGUUAUGCCACACUUGUCGGUGUUCGUAGAGAAUCCUACAACUCAUAAUGUAGGAUUCGGCUUCUCUCUAUUUUCUCCAAGUUUAUGCUUGGAUUGGAGACGCUUCCAUAUAUCUUUCAAAAAAAUUUUAUAAUCCUACUAUGACGUGUCUCCAAUCCUAGCAUGUACUUGAGGAAAAUUGAAAUUUAAAGACGGAAAAUGGAGAGGAGUUGAAUCCCAAAAUGUAUUUCAUAGUUGGAAUACUCUUCUUUUGUUCAUGUUGUGUAGAAAAAAAUAGUAACUUAUAAUUACAUGGGAUUCAAAUUUCUGGUAAAAGAAAAAAAUAGUGUCAGACUAGAUUCUGUUUCUAUCAAUCAUAACAACAUAUAAAUUUAUUUUAGCA